rnacentral:rRNA from 1 species
UCCCAGACUCCUACGGGAGGCAGCAGUCGGGAAUAUUGCGCAAUGGAGGAAACUCUGACGCAGUGACGCCGCGUAUAGGAAGAAGGUUUUCGGAUUGUAAACUAUUGUCGUGAGGGAAGAAAUUGACAGUACCUCAGGAGGAAGCUCCGGCUAACUAUGUGCCAGCAGCCGCGGUAAUACGUAGGGGGCAAGCGUUAUCCGGAUUUACUGGGUGUAAAGGGAGCGUAGACGGCAGCGCAAGUCUGAAGUGAAAUCCCAUGGCUUAACCAUGGAACUGCUUUGGAAACUGUGCAGCUGGAGUGCAGGAGAGGUAAGCGGAAUUCCUAGUGUAGCGGUGAAAUGCGUAGAUAUUAGGAGGAACACCAGUGGCGAAGGCGGCUUACUGGACUGUAACUGACGUUGAGGCUCGAAAGCGUGGGGAGCAAACAGGAUUAGAUACCCCAGUA